CAAGGGAGUGUUGUUGUCGUACAUCCAUCUCCUUUGAGAAUGAGCUUGAGCUUUGGCAGCAAUGGCUUUCUGGCCUCGCUCGGCACAGGGCCUUGAGGCUACAACACGCCGUGCGGUAAUGUCUUCUCAGUUGCGAUGCUGCGAGGCCUAGGAAGACCUCAAAGCACUGUGCUGCAUCGGGAAACAAACGGUAGUUGGAAAUGGUGCGGUGCCGCUUUGUUUUUUCAUCCCUUUCUUGCUGUUCUUGUGAUUGUUUUCGGGAGUCGGCUGCAGGUUGAGUUGCAGGUGUUUGUAAGAUUCUGUGAAACAGAAAUCAACUGUUAUGAUGUUUGACUCAACAGUGGACCCGAAGUUGAGGCAUGGAACCGUCCGAACUGGUGUAUUUUGGGAGUAAGCUUAUGCGAAUUUUUCGCUGAAGUUGAUGCUAAGGGGAUUCAGAAGUCGCCAGAUGUCACCGCUUCAGAGUCCACGGACAUUGGAACUAAUGGUUACAUUGUGAUAUGUGGGAUGGACGAAUUGAAUAGAGUGGAAUGAAUUCGCAAGUUCUAUUCCUUAGUUUCGGAAUGCGGUCGCCAGAGUUGGAGGUGGAAUUUAAUUGUUCUUGGUCGAUUUGUAUGGUCAUGAUCAUCUCUUAAUUUACUACCUUUAUCUUUCGGUGCUUAAGGGGCAGGUUAUUAAAAGCAUGACAAUGAGUUUAAACGAAAUGAGGCUCUCAGUGCUCCUCAAGAGCUUAGCUACAAUGAUGAUGUGGAUUCCAGAAGUCUCUUACUUGAAAGAGACUGUCUUCUUUUACCUCCAAAUUUGUUUCUCUCUGGUUUCGAUUCUGGUUUUCGACCUUCUUUAAUUCUCAAUGAGGUGACUUGUAUAUCUGUUUCCAGAUUAAUGUUCAUGGAACAGAAUUCAAUGGUUGUCAUCAGCUCCUGUGGGUUUGCAGCUGAUAAUAUUAACCAAUAGGUCUUCACGUCGUAUACUUCUUGUCGUGAAGCGGAGCGGUUGGUUUACGUGUGAAAGGUGUCGCAGGUUCUACGGUGAAGUCUGGUAGAAGUCGGUCAGGUACUACUCAAACCGCUGUAGUGCACUACAAGGCACACGGGGAAUGUGUAAUACAAGCCUGGGACAUAAAUUGUUUUUGUGAGAAAUAAAGCGUACUAUCGAUGUAUGCAAGAGAAUGGGGCUCACAUGAUAGUAUCUGUUUCCUGCACGGAUCUUCUCACAGUACGUUCACAUUUCGCAUCACUCAGGCUUGCACUUGACUGUUCCAGUUUUUAAUAAUGUAAGCUUGCUACGUGCAGUGUAGAUUUUAUCGGA